GAUGAACGCUGGCGGCGUGCCUAAUACAUGCAAGUCGAGCGAACGGACGAGAAGCUUGCUUCUCUGAUGUUAGCGGCGGACGGGUGAGUAACACGUGGAUAACCUACCUAUAAGACUGGGAUAACUUCGGGAAACCGGAGCUAAUACCGGAUGAUAUUUUGAACCGCAUGGUUCAAAAGUGAAAGACGGUCUUGCUGUCACUUAUAGAUGGAUCCGCGCUGCAUUAGCUAGUUGGUAAGGUAACGGCUUACCAAGGCAACGAUGCAUAGCCGACCUGAGAGGGGGAUCGGCCACCUUGGACCUGAGACCCGGCCCAGCCUCCUACGGGAGGCAGCAGUAGGGAAUCUUCCGCAAUGGGGGAAAGCCUGACGGAGCAACGCCGGGGGAGUGAUGAAGGUCUUCGGAUCGUAAAACCUUGUUAUUAGGGAAGAACAUAUGUGUAAGUAACUGUGCACAUCUUGACGGUACCUAAUCAGAAAGCCCCGGCUAACUACGU
rnacentral:rRNA from 1 species